CCGCUAUAAUUCUACUGGAUUUUCUCUCUGCCCUAACACAAAACGAAACUUUCUCUAAACACUUCGCGGUUCUUCUCUCCGGUUGCGAAUACUACAAAUCGCGACGCAUUGCAAUAAAACAAAAUUUCAGAUUCUGUUCUCUGCCGAUAAUUUUUGUGAGUUCUUUUUUCUUUUUACCUAAAUUCUUGAUUUCUUCGGUUUUUGCUUUCUUCAUUUCUGUUAUCCAGUAGUAUUGUGUGAUUUGGAUUAGAUUUUUAAUUCUCGAAGCCAUGCGGCAGAGUGUGGGAGAUUUCUAUGGUGGCUCUUAAUCUCUCUUGAUUUACAUUUUGUAUUACAUUGUGGAGUGGUGUCGUUACGGUUAAUUAGCAGAGUAAUCGUUCUCGUAAUCUGUCCUUUUAAUCUUUGUUGAUAGGAGAUGGAUGUGAAUAAUGGAAUGGAGACUAUGAGAUUUUGCUAUUUACUUGAUGAUGAAUUGGUAGCUGUCACUGAAAUGAGGUAACACUUUCGUUCGAAUUUUAUCUUUGAUUUCUAGACAUUACAUGUGUGAUGCUACCUGUACGUACUGCAAACCUUUGAGCUUCCUGAUAUGAAACUACAAAAUAUUUUUUGAUUUCAUAUUAAUGUUAUGAACCAACUAGAAUUAAUUAGAAGUUGGAUUUGAUGGAAACCUAACGUGAAGGAUCAUUUGAUCCGAUCAGACUCCACGUGUUUUGUCUCAUAAAUGCUCAACCUCCCUAAAAGUCUGCUCCUUUCCAAUGAAACACAACAAAAAGGGAAUGAAAUGAAACAAAAAGCAGUAGAGAAGUUUUAUUCUCUUCACGCUCACAAGCUCACAAGCUCACAAGCCAUACCUUUUUGAUUUUGCCUUAGGAGAGGAUAGUUUACUACACACAUACUUGAUAAGAAAGAAUCAUUUGAAGAUGUGUUUAACUAGUCCAGGAAUAUGGACAUUCAUGAAGUAAUCCUCCCAAUUAAUAUCUUUAGGAUCCAAGAAGAAUGUCUCUGUUUCUGUAUCUUUGUUUUGAAUAUUCCUUCUCAACCUUUCUGCAUUUGUAUCGUCAAAACUGUACAUACAGAACAAAGAAAUAUAGGAUAAAUCAGGAAAAUAUUGAUAAAAAUUCUGAAACUAAAGUAAAAUAUAUAAAUCCAAAUGAAAUGAAAGCAAAGUGAACACAAAACCUAGAAAACUUUCACUUACACGGCACUGAAGAAUAGAUAAGGGCGGUCAAGUUCGAUGAGCCGCAUCACUAAAUUGAACUUCCUCUUCGUAUCGACAUACAUGUCUUGAAAAGAGUGGCAAAAUGCCUUGUUUGCGAAUUCCAAUCCCUUAAUAAUUCAAUCAUUAAAAAAGAUUCAUACAGUUCGCUAAUUAAAUAUCAAAUAUAAAUAGGACGUGCAUAGUUUAGUUUAUCUAAAGUAGAUAAGAGUCUUUGGACAAAGUAGUUUAGAUUGAUCCUUCCCAUUUUUAAUAGAAUAUAAUGGAGGAAUAGAUUAAAAAUCUUUCUUAGUUUAAUCAUAGAUUUGUGUAAUUGUAAGUAGCAAUCACAAAAACUAGGAAGGGUGGCCGUGCUGCCACGAUCAACUUAGAUUCAAGAAAAAAAAGUUUAAGUACCUUCAGAAAAACUAGGUAGCGAACAUUCAUGUAUCUACGGAAGCUGGCCAUAUUGUUGAAGAUUGUAACUUUCCCAACCUUCACAGCAUUUCCAUCUUUAUUGAUCCAUGGUUUUUCAGUGAAAUAUUGGUAGUUGAAACGUUUGAAAUCAAUAUAUCUCAUAGAAUUUCUUGUCGAAGAACCCACGUGAUAUAUGGUUUGAUUAGAUGGUUGGAGUUCAUGAGCUACCAUUGCCAUGAUAAUCAUAUUUACCACCAUAUCUGCAGGAACCUUAUAUUUAAAAAAAUAUAUAUUACUUUUUUUAUUCAAUUAUAAUACUCAAAAGAAAAGCUGAACAUUUAGAAAGAAAUUAUGUUAUCUCACCAAAUCAACAAUUGAAUUAAUCCCAGCAAGAAAAAACGUUAGUUUUCCUUUAGCAUAUCCAAGAAUAAGACUAUCGAUGGUCCUGUAAAAAUGCUACAUAGUCUCAGCAUUGAAGUCAAAAGCUUAAUAUGCUUACUCAAGAAACAGAGUUAAUUUUUGCUUUGACCACUUAUUUGGUUCUUUUUUAGUUCGGGAAGCUAUUCAGAUUUGGAAGAUAUUCUUGAACUACGUAUCUGAUGCCUUCAAUCCAUCCGGGAAAAGGUUCUCUGUAAGUACUUGUAACUAUUGUUGGUCGUAUGAUGAUUAAAGGUAGAUUGUUUUUUGGAUCACUCGCCACCAUCUCACCCAUUGCCUUUAUAAAUUCAUAUGUACUUAGGCCAUCCAUACAUCCUAGCCCUAAUCUUAAUCAUAAUUGAAAUUUUUUUAAAUACUAUAAAAUAUCUUAUUAUCUAAAAUAACUUCAUGGAAACAUUUAGUUUUUGAAAAUUAACUCUGUAAAUAUCUCUCUGACUUUUAAAUUCAAAUUUUUUUUAUUAUCUACUAAGUACUAUCUAUGAAUGUUUUAAAAAACUAAGUCAAUUUUUUUAAAACAAAAAGAAGUAGUUUGUAAAAAUUUGUUUUGUUUUUUAAUUGAGCUAAAAAUUAAGCUACUUAAGGAUGAAAAUCAUUGUAAGAAGUCUAGUCUUCAAAAAUAGAAAUCCAAACGGUUCCAAAACAAAAAGGAAAACCAGGCCUUGUUUAAGAUUUAAUUAAGUGUAUACCUUUCUAGGCCCAAGUGUUUCAACGCUAGAUUUAUAGUUUAUUGCAUAGCUCCAUUUUCUUUAAGUUGUUUGAACUUCUCUUCCGCUACUUUCUGUUCUGUACCAAUGUCUAGCCCUUCCAUCCCAUUAAGAGACUCACCCAAUUUAUAUGGAGUUUACAUCGACGAUUAAGAGAUUCCAGAUUCAAACUCUUCAUCCCAAUUUGUAUUAUAAAAAACUUCUUACAUUACAUUAUUAGAGUUCAUAGCUCUCUAGUUUUCAUAGUUUUUUCGAACUCAACUCAUUGUUCACUUUUAUGGGUGAGAUUUUUUUUUGGCUUAAGGGGUUGAGAGUUUAUGGUUUGUGGGUCCCACAAAUGAAAAUUUAUCAAUCAUCUUAUUAAUUCUUUACCGUGGGUCUUUGGAGUUCACAAUUUUUAUGACUUCACUUCAAAUUAUUAUUUUAAAUUCACAACUCCACUCUUUUAAUCCAAACAAGCCUUCAAAGGUAUAAAGGAGAAUAAAAUAGAAGGUAAAAUGUAUUCAUACGCAAUAAUGUAAUAUAUAGUGAUGUAUACUGACCAGUGGAUACAUGGACAAGAAGUUUCAAAUUAGGACACUGCUUUGCUAAGCUUACAACAUGUUUAGCUCCCAGGGUAUUAGUAGCCAGUGCGACGUAGUAUCUAUUAAAAAAGAAAUGGAAAACAUUUUACAAUGACGAAACAAAAUGGUACAAAAUAUCUUGUAUUUUGUUUGUACCUCUCAUCGAACUUGGUUGUGGCAGCCAAAUUAACAAUGAUUUCCACUUGAUUCUUCAUCUCUUCAACCAAAUUUGAAUGUAUCCAUCCCAUUUGUGUGAGUAAAACAUCCCCGGGUACCACACAAACCUUCUCUGAAAUUAAGGUAUCAAACUCUCCACCCCACAUCUUCUUUAAUACUUUAAACAAAUCCUUUCCUAUCACCUGUGUAAUUGACAUAAUGCAUUAUUUUUCCUAUCUAUUACUUAAAACAACGUUACAUUAUUUAAGAAACAAAAAAAAAAAAAAAAAGAUGCUAAUGAUUUGUAUUGAGCAAAUAUGUGUAUACCAUCAUAGAAACGUUUUAUAGCUAUCAUCUUGUCUUUGGCCCUUAUUAGUAGAUAGAGUUUCUUCACAUUUGGUUGAAUCCUCAAUAUUUUCUCCACCAAAACUAUAAUUUAAUGUAACCAUAUUAUAGCAAAAUGACAAUGGAGGUAACUCAAGUCAUUUUGUUUUUUUUUAAAAAAAAAGGUGGUAAAGAAAAACAUAUUAAAUUUUAAAUUUACUUUCUAAGCGUGGAGUGUUGUAUCUAUUUGUCUUCAAACUUCAAAAGGAUAUAUUAUAAUUUAUACUUAGUUCAUGUUGUUAAUAUUAUUAGUGGAAUGUUUGUAUGUAAUGACAAUUAUAAUCACGAUGCAAAUCAUCCUCCAUAUAUAUAACAAAAACCUAAAAAAGAAAAAAAAAAGUCUCGUACAUAACACAAUCAAUAUUUUUUUCUGUGACCAAAACACUCUUGUUCUCAAGAAACUCCAUUGCAAUGUCACACUUAUGCAUGUGUGUGAGAGAAUUGAGAGCUAUGCAGUAUGCUAUGUACAGAUGUUUGGAUAUAUUUAUAACACUAUAGUGAAUGCAAUAAUUUUAUUUUAGCAAAGGUGGCCCCAGUUCUAAGGCCCGAGAAGUCGACAAGAGAUAAACCCCAUAAGUAAAAAGGAAAAAAGAGGUAUUACUAUUCUCUCUUUCUCUUUUUCUCCCAAAGUAAAUAAGGUUUCAUUUUUAGUAGUGGUAGGAUGCAAAAAAUGAAUGUAGUUUAUGAUGAACUUAAGUGUAUAUAUCAUUAUUAUUAUUUUUAUAAAAUAAUAGAAUUAAAAGAAAUGGAAUAAUAAAAUUUAAUUUCUACAUUGAUAAACCAAAAUAUGAAUGGCUAACAAGACUUCUAAAUUACAUGUCUUGAACGCUUAAAGAGACUGAAGAAAAAAAAAUAUUAUUUACCUUGAUUUCAAAUUCUUCGCCCCUUAUUGAUGGAGCCAAAAGAAAAAAAAAAAGAGUGAAACGUGACUAACAUAAUGCAUAUUUUAAACGAGAAAAUAGACGGUAAGAAAAAGGAAAAAAAAAAUGAACACGAAUGUGAAAUUCAAUUAAAUUCAGCACCUAAAUAUAGGUGUAGACAUAUUUGAAGUGUUGUAUGAAAUGUAUGAAGAUGUGAAGGAUAUAAUAAUUGCAACUGCUUAACAGCGAAAUUUUGAAGCGUAGCCAUUUUCCUUAGUCAAACUUAUAGGUUGUGGUUCCAAUAAAUUUAGGAAUCAUUUCGAACAAAAGUUAUCUAUACUAUGACAAGGACCCUCUAGUAUAUUAAAUACUAUUUAAAAAUCUUCAAUUAGUUAUCUUACUACUCUUAAUUUGCUACAAUUUUUAUUAUUUAUUACUGUUGUUACUAUUUGACAUUCAUCAUUUCUUAUAUUUUGUUAUUUAUUAUUUUUUUAUUUUUUAUUACUUGUAAUUACUAUUUCAUUAUCAAACUAAAGUAGUUUAUACAUUAAAAAUAUAUUAUUAUAACUCAAAUUAAAAUAUUUUAUACCCUAAACAUAAACUAUAACAACCCCAUAUUCCAUAUUCAUUUUAAGAUUCAAAAGUUUAGUUUUUAUUUAUAGUUUAAAAGAAAAGUGUGUGAGUCUCCAUUUGAAAAGUAUAAAUAUUUCCAAAGUUCAAAUAUAAUUAAAGUUUAGUUGAAAUUCUUAACAUGGUUCCAUUAACAUCUCAACUACUUAGUUUCACGUUAAACACGUUAAACUAGAGAGACCUUCCAACAAUAAAUUAAACACACUUGGUUUGAUUGUCAAAUUACAUUUAAGUUACACUUAAUUCCCCAUUAGAAUCUUUUGUUGGUGUACAUAUUUAACAAAGGGAUUAAACUUUUUAAUCAUUAUUUUUACUUUAAAAUAUCGUGUGACAUUUAAAAGAUUAAAGAAAAGAAGGUACUUAUAUUAAUAUUUUAGAUAUAUUCUAAUUAAAUUACAAACUCAAUGUCUAAAGGAUGGUUUCUUUUCUUUAUUUUAUGUUAAACUCAUGCUAAUUAAACUUCAUAUCAAUAUACUUUCAUUUAUCAUAUUUCAACAUUUUUAUGAGUUCGAGUAAAUACGAGACCUAAAAACAUGGAGUAAAAUGUUAUUAUUUACGUUAAUAUACUAAUACAUUUGUCAACUAAUUAAAUAUAUAUUUACAUAUGAUAAUGUUUAUUUUCUAAUUCAUUUCUUUUAAUAUUUUUCUAAGCGAUAAACAUUUCCAUCAAUGUUGAUAUUUUAAAUUUUAAAAAAUUUAUAGUUACAUAAUGAAAAACAUUGGCUUCCAUGAUAUUAAAUUAUCAAUUAUGUGUGAAUUUUAAAUCACUAAUUACUUCAAACGCUUAAGUUGCUUAUGAGUGAAGAUAUAUUAUUAUAUCAUCUAACAAAAAAUAAUGACUCAAAUCUUUAUUAGGUAUUUGCUCAUCAAAUCAAGGAGUCUUCAAAUAUACACUUACAUACCUCAUCGUAGAAUUGUUUUCAUGUGUUGUAAUGUCAUCUAUACUUCGUAAAAGUAGAUAAACUUUCUUCACGUUUGGUUGACUCCUUAAUAUUUUUUUCACCCUAACUACAUUCUCGAAACGUAGAUAUUAUAUAAAUGAUAUUAGGAUAUAUAUAUAUAUAUUUCUGUAGAAGGACAA
rnacentral:lncRNA from 1 species